GACGAACGCUGGCGGCGUGCUUAACACAUGCCAGUCGAACGGAAGCGCGCCAGCUUGCUGGGACACUCGAGUGGCGAACGGGUGAGUAACACGUGGGUGAUCUGCCCUGCACUCUGGGAUAAGCAUAGGAAACUGGUGCUAAUACCGGAUAGGACCGUGCUCUAGUGUGUGCUGUGGAGAGAUGGUCGCGUCAGGAUGAGCUUGCGGCCGAUUAGCUUGCGGUUGGGGUAAUGGCCUGGCAAGGCCGCGACGGGGAGCCGGCCUGAGAGGGUGUAGGGCAACAUUGCGACUGAGAUACGGCACGGACCAGUACGGGAGGCAGGGGAGGGGGAGGUAGCACGAUGCGCGCAAGUAUGAUGCAGCGACGCCGCGUGGGGGUUGGCGGCCUGCUGGUUGGAGAGCACAUUCGGCAGGGAGGGAGAGUUUGUGACGGUACCUGAAGAAGAAGCACCGGCUAACUACGUG
rnacentral:rRNA from 1 species